rnacentral:lncRNA from 1 species
CCACCAUACUAGGCCACCGUACUCAACUACGAGGAAGGCUGAGGCAGGAGGGUCACAAGUUUGAGACUAGCCUGAGCAACUUAUAUGACCCUGUCUCAGAAUAAAAAGGAAUGGGAAUGCAUCUCAGGGUAGAGCACACCUGGGUUCAAUCCCUGGUAUGAAAAAAAGGCACCCAGGGAAAGCAGUAAGCCACAAGGCCCAGAGAGGCAUGCUAAACAUUGCAGCACAUGGCACCAGGGUACGGCAGAGCAGGGUGCUGGUAGAACAGCCUUGGUGGCUGGGGAAUAGCCUUUUUGUGUGUGUGGAAGGGGUACCAGGGAUUGAACCCAAGGGCACUCGACUCCUAAGCCACAUCCCCAGCCCUAUUUUUGUAUUUUAUUUAGAGAUAAGGUCUCAUUGAGUUGCUUAGCGCCUCACUUUUGCUGAGGCUGGCUUUGAACUCACCAUCCUCCUGCCUCAGCCUCCCAGGCCACUGAGAUUACAGGCACCACACCUGGCAGAAACAGCCUUUUGAUACUACAGCAUGUGAGGCCUGCAGGAGUUCAGAGGGGCUGAUGGCGAAGGUAUGUUGCUUUGAUCUCUCUUCUUUUAUUGUAAUAAAAUGUAAAUUUGCCACUGUAUCCAUUUGGAGUGCACAGUUUAGUGACUUCAGGCAAUUUUGCUGCAGUGAGCCAUCUUCACUGCCUGAACUCCCCAUCUUCCCAAGGUGAACCUCAGCACCCAGGAAGCACCAGCCCUGAGCCCUAGCACCCUUCUGCUUCCUGUCUGUAUUUGAGCACUCCAGCCCCAUUGUGUAAGUGGAAUCCACUGUUUGUCCUUUUAAGAAUGUAUUUCACUCAGCAGUGUCCUCUAGUGCACCUAUGUUGUACCAUGUGAUGGGAUUUCCGCCCUUCUAAAAGGCAGAAUGCUGCUCCAGCAUGCCUACACCUACACACACUACGGCUUGUCACUCACCCCUCUGUGGGCAAUGGGUGGCUCCACCUCCUGGCUGUUUUGCGUAAUGCAGCUGUGACAGGCUUAUGGAUUUUGUUUUUUUACUAUACUGUGGAUUGAAGCCAGGGCCUCACACACACUAAGCCAGCCUUCUGCUGCUGGGUUACUUCCUCCACCUAGUGUUUUGUUUUUAUGAUGGGUGCAAUUACAUUGAGCUUACUGGAUGAUGGAAUGACGCAGAGGAUCUGGGAUGCAGGAGAUGGUACAGUACUGUCGCAAGAGGGCAAAAUUGCGACGUAUGCAGUCGAGGGGAGAAAUAAAAAUGUCCAUGUGCUUCUGCUCUUUUCAGUGCUUUA